UCAAUUGCAGCCAACAUGCUUUGGGAUAUUUUGAAUGAAAAAAUAGUGCUUGGUUAGUGGACGAUAUACUGGAAAUUCGUGGAAAAAACGCUGUAAAAAUUGUUAUUUUUACGUAAAAAACAUAAAAUAAGCUAGCGAAGAUGAGCGUGGAAGAAGAAGUUUUUAAAAUACAAAAGAAAAUGCAGAAGAUAACUUCAAAUGAUGGUACGGGGCAAGACCAAGCGCUAGAUUUGCUGAAAGCAUUGCAGACACUCAACAUAAAUUUGGAGAUAUUAACCAAGACACGCAUUGGUAUGACUGUUAAUGAACUGCGCAAGAGCAGCAAAGAUGAGGAGGUUAUCGCUUUGGCUAAAACGCUUAUCAAAAAUUGGAAACGAUUUUUGCCCCCAAGCGGUUCAAGUGGCAGCUCUUCGAAAGAUGCGGCCGGUAGUAAUAGUGCUUCUAAAUCAUCUUCAGCCAGCAAAUCUAGCUCAUCGUCAUCAAGCAAAGACAAGGAGAAGAGUUCAUCGUCUUCAAGCUCCUCAAAAGAUAAAAAACGUGAUGAAGAAAAGAAAUCUAAUUCGAGCGCAUCAUCCUCUUCGGCAAAGGAUGAACGCCGGCCAGUGCAGUCGACGUUCCCCAGUACUGGCGGCUUGACCGAUGCAGUGCGCCUUAAAUGUCGUGAAAUGCUAUGUAAUGCGCUUAAGGUUGGUGAGCCCAUCGAAGGUUGUCCGGAGCCAGAAGACAUGGCUACUGAAUUGGAAGACGCAAUUUACAUGGAAUUCAAGAAUACUGAUAUGAAAUAUAAAAAUCGUGUGCGUUCGCGUGUAGCCAACUUAAAGGACGCAAAGAAUCCAACGCUACGCAGCAAUUUCAUGUGUGGUGCCGUAACAGCACAGCAAUUGGCGCGUAUGUCGCCUGAAGAAAUGGCUAGUGAUGAAAUGAAAAAAUUGCGCGAGAAAUUUGUGAAGGAAGCUAUAAAUGACGCUCAACUGGCCACAGUACAGGGCACUAAAACCGAUCUACUUAAAUGUGGCAAGUGUAAGAAGCGUAACUGCACAUACAAUCAGUUACAAACUCGCUCCUCUGAUGAACCUAUGACGACAUUCGUCAUGUGCAACGAAUGCGGCAAUCGCUGGAAGUUUUGCUGAAGACGUACUUUUAAAAAAAGGCAAAGUCAUUUUCUUCUUAAAUUUUACUUGCAUAUAAAUUUAUAUAAUUUCUUUUAUUUCAAUUUUCAUUUCCGCAUUGGUUUGUAAAAUGAAAGGAAACCAAAAUGGUACGUUGCAUCUUCGUACUUUUUGGAAACUGCUGUUUCAAUUUUUAUGAAAAAUAUAUAAAACGGAAGGCAACUCAUACAUGGAACCUCUCAUUGAAAGAAUCAUAAAAAAAUUAGUUGCAGUAUAAACAGGCUAAAAUUGUGUGAACUAGCAGAUGUAUGAAUAGCAAUAAGCAGGUAUUCAUUUUAACGAAUUAAAAGCGAAUCAAUUUUAA